CUGGCUCAGGAUGAACGCUAGCUAACAGGCUUAACACAUGCAAGUCGAGGGUAGCAGGGUAGCAAUACCGCUGACGACCGGCGCACGGGUGAGUAACACGUAUCCAACCUUCCCAUAACUCAGGGAUAGCCUUUCGAAAGAAAGAUUAAUACCUGAUAGUACUUUUUCAAGGCAUCUUGAGAAAGUUAAAGAUUUAUUGGUUAUGGAUGGGGAUGCGUUCCAUUAGAUAGUUGGUGAGGUAACGGCUCACCAAGUCUUCGAUGGAUAGGGGUUCUGAGAGGAAGGUCCCCACAUUGGUACUGAGACACGGACCAAACUCCUACGGGAGGCAGCAGUGAGGAAUAUUGGUCAAUGGGCGAGAGCCUGAACCAGCCAAGUAGCGUGAAGGAUUGAUGGUCCUAUGGAUUGUAAACUUCUUUUAUAGUAGAAUAAAGUGAUCCACGUGUGGAUUUUUGUAUGUAUACUAUGAAUAAGGAUCGGCUAACUCCGUGCCAGCCGCGGC
rnacentral:rRNA from 1 species